rnacentral:rRNA from 1 species
UACGAAGGUCCCAAGCGUUAUCCGGAUUUAUUGGGUUUAAAGGGUGCGUAGGCGGCUUUGUAAGUCAGUGGUGAAAUAUGGCAGCUCAACUGUCAAGGUGCCAUUGAUACUGCGGAGCUUGAGUACAGAUGAGGUAGGCGGAAUUGACGGUGUAGCGGUGAAAUGCUUAGAUAUCGUCAAGAACACCUAUAGCGAAGGCAGCUUACUAGGCUGUAACUGACGCUGAGGCACGAAAGUGUGGGGAUCAAACAGG